rnacentral:rRNA from 1 species
CAGUAGCCGCGGUAAUACGGAGGGAGCUAGCGUUAUUCGGAAUUACUGGGCGUAAAGCGCACGUAGGCGGCUUUGUAAGUAAGAGGUGAAAGCCCAGAGCUCAACUCUGGAAUUGCCUUUUAGACUGCAUCGCUUGAAUCAUGGAGAGGUCAGUGGAAUUCCGAGUGUAGAGGUGAAAUUCGUAGAUAUUCGGAAGAACGCCAGUGGCGAAGGCGGCUGACUGGACAUGUAUUGACGCUGAGGUGCGAAAGCGUGGGGAGCAAACAGGAUUAGAUACCCCUGUAGUCCCUGUCUCUUAUAC